CCUACGGGUGGCUGCAGUGGGGAAUAUUGGACAAUGGGGGGAACCCUGAUCCAGCCAUGCCGCGUGUGUGAAGAAGGCCCUCGGGUUGUAAAGCACUUUCAGUGAGGAAGAACGCCUGGUGGUUAAUACCCAUCAGGAAAGACAUCACUCACAGAAGAAGCACCGGCUAACUCCGUGCCAGCAGCAGCGGUAAUACGGAGGGUGCGAGCGUUAAUCGGAAUUACUGGGCGUAAAGCGCGCGUAGGUGGCUUGAUAAGCCGGUUGUGAAAGCCCCGGGCUCAACCUGGGAACGGCAUCCGGAACUGUCAAGCUAGAGUGCAGGAGAGGAAGGUAGAAUUCCCGGUGUAGCGGUGAAAUGCGUAGAGAUCGGGAGGAAUACCAGUGGCGAAGGCGGCCUUCUGGACUGACACUGACACUGAGGUGCGAAAGCGUGGGUAGCAAACAGGAUUAGAUACCCUAGUAGUC
rnacentral:rRNA from 1 species